GUAAGAGUUUGCAUCUGUAGGUCAAUGAGUGCCUGUCAGAUUGUGUCAAAUCAAAGUGUGUCUGUUAGUGAGUAUUGGUGCUUUAAUUCUAAAAAUAUAAGGAAUGUUUAUGGCCACAAAAAGCCAAGGGAAAGAAACUGGUACAUUGCAUAAAACAUCUGGUGUGUCACAUUAGAAUAAAUGUAUUACCUGCACAUGGUUCUAGUUAUCUUUAUCAUCUUUAUG